rnacentral:rRNA from 1 species
GAUGAACGCUGGCGGCGUGCUUAACACAUGCAAGUCGAACGUAGCACUUUAUUUGAUUUCCUUCGGGACUGAUUAUUUUGUGACUGAGUGGCGGACGGGUGAGUAACGCGUGGGUAACCUGCCUUGUACAGGGGGAUAACAGUUGGAAACGGCUGCUAAUACCGCAUAAGCGCACGGCAUCGCAUGAUGCAGUGUGAAAAACUCCGGUGGUAUAAGAUGGACCCGCGUUGGAUUAGUUAGUUGGUGAGGUAACGGCCCACCAAGGCGACGAUCCAUAGCCGACCUGAGAGGGUGACCGGCCACAUUGGGACUGAGACACGGCCCAAACUCCUACGGGAGGCAGCAGUGGGGAAUAUUGCACAAUGGGCGAAAGCCUGAUGCAGCGACGCCGCGUGAGCGAAGAAGUAUUUCGGUAUGUAAAGCUCUAUCAGCAGGGAAGAUAAUGACGGUACCUGACUAAGAAGCACCGGCUAAAUACGUG